rnacentral:rRNA from 1 species
ACGGGAGGCAGCAGUGUGGGAUAUUGCACAAUGGGGGAAACCCUGAUGCAGCGACGCCGCGUGAGUGAAGAAGUAUUUCGGUAUGUAAAGCUCUAUCAGCAGGAAAGAUAAUGACGGUACCUGACUAAGAAGCACCGGCUAAAUACGUGCCAGCAGCCGCGGUAAUACGUAUGGUGCAAGCGUUAUCCGGAUUUACUGGGUGUAAAGGGAGCGCAGACGGCAUGGCAAGCCAGAUGUGAAAGGUGGGGGCUCAACCCCCAAGCUGCAUUUGGAACUGUCAAGCUAGAGUAUCGGAGAGGUAAGUGGAAUUCCUAGUGUAGCGGUGAAAUGCGUAGAUAUUCGGAGGAACACCAGUGGCGAAGGCGGCUUACUGGGCUCUAACUGACGCUGAGGCACGAAAGUGUGGGUAGCAAACAGGAUUAGAUA